UACGGAGGGUGCAAGCGUUUAUCCGGAUUCACUGGGUUUAAAGGGUGCGUAGGUGGGUCUGUAAGUCAGUGGUGAAAUCUCCGAGCUUAACUCGGAAACUGCCAUUGAUACUAUAGGUCUUGAAUUAUCUGGAGGUAAGCGGAAUAUGUCAUGUAGCGGUGAAAUGCUUAGAUAUGACAUAGAACACCAAUUGCGAAGGCAGCUUACUACGGAUAUAUUGACACUGAGGCACGAAAGCCAGGGGAGCGAACGGG
rnacentral:rRNA from 1 species